GACGAACGCUGGCGGCGUGCUUAACACAUGCAAGUCGAACGGAAAGGCCCUGCUUUUGUGGUGUGCUCGAUUGCCGAACGGGUGAGUAACACUUGAGUAACCUGCCCUUGACUUUGGGAUAACUUCAGGAAACUGGGGCUAAUACCAGAUAGGAGCUCCUGCUGCAUUGUGGGGGUUGGAAAGUGUCGGCGGUUGGGGAUGUGCUCGCGGCUUAUCAGCUUGUUGGUGGGGUAGUGGAUUACCAAGGCCUUGACGGGUAGCCGGCCUGAGAGGGUGACCGGCCACAGUGGGACUGAGAUACGGCAGAGACUAGUAAGGGAGGCAGCAGUGGGGAAUAUUGCACAAUGGGGGGAAGCCUGAUGAAGCAACGCCGCGUGCGGGAUGACGGCCUUCGGGUUGUAGAGCGUUUUGGCCUGUGCCGGAGCGUGAGUGACGGUAAUGGGUAAAGAAGCACCGGCUAACUACGUG
rnacentral:rRNA from 1 species